rnacentral:rRNA from 1 species
AACGAACGCUGGCGGCGUGCCUAACACAUGCAAGUCGAACGGAAUAAGGGGCUUGCUCCUUAUUUAGUGGCGCACGGGUGAGUAACGCGUAGAUAAUCUGCCUGAUGAUCUGGGAUAACAUUUCGAAAGAGGUGCUAAUACCGGAUAAGCCCACGACGGCCUUGGUCGACUCGGGAAAAGGGGGGGACCAUUUGGCCUUCUGUCAUCAGAUGAUUCUGCGUACCAUUAGCUAGUUGGUGGGGUAAAGGGCUACCAAGGCUACGAUGGUUAGCUGGUCUGAGAGGAUGAUCAGCACCACUGGAACUGAGACACGGUCCAGAAUCCUACGGGAGGCAGCAGUGGGGAAUGUUGCGCAAGGGGCGAAAGCCUGACGCAGCAACGCCGCGGGAGUGAUGAAGGCUUUCGGGUCGUAAAGCUCUGUCAAUGGGAAAGAAGUGUAUUGUAGCUAAUACCUGCGAUACUUGACGGUACCCAUAAAGGAAGCACCGGCUAACUCCGUGCCAGCAGCCGCGGUAA